ACUACAACUAUAGGUUCUAUCGAUUGAAGCUUAAGGAUAUCGAUUUGAAGAAGCUUGGAACUCUUUCUCAAAGUCUUGGUGUAGGUGGAAGGUGAGAAGGUGCCUUGAAGCAACGAUGGGAAUCUAGUUAUUGUUAAAUAAAAGUUGAAGUAUAUCCUCACUUGACUAGAGGUCAUAAUCUUCUUUAGAUUUAUUUUGAUUGAAAGUAUUGUAAUAGAGUAAGUAUUUCUACGUUCAUAUUGUAUGGGACGUGUCCCAAGUAUUCUUGAGUCUAAGAUUGACAUAUGUUGAGACUUA